UUUCCCCCAAACCGUGAACCAAAGCAGCUUGAAAACUUAAAAGCUCUUUGCUCCCUACCCUGAGGGAGUAACAGCGUCGCGGGCAUCUUCCCACCAAGUCCUCUGAAUAAAGUUUUCUUUCCUUCGCCUGCGAGGCGAAUAUGGCCCCAGAUGCUCAGGUCCUAUGUGAACUGAAAUUAGUAACCUCAGCAAGCGCUGUGUUAUGGUC